rnacentral:rRNA from 1 species
GGAUUAGAUACCCUGGUAGUCCACGCCGUAAACGAUGUCUACUUGGAGGUUGUGGCCUUGAGCCGUGGCUUUCGGAGCUAACGCGUUAAGUAGACCGCCUGGGGAGUACGGUCGCAAGAUUAAAACUCAAAUGAAUUGACGGGGGCCCGCACAAGCGGUGGAGCAUGUGGUUUAAUUCGAUGCAACGCGAAGAACCUUACCAUCCCUUGACAUCCUCAGAAGACAAAAGAGAUUUUGUUGUGCCUUCGGGAACUGAGAGACAGGUGCUGCAUGGCUGUCGUCAGCUCGUGCU